CUGCCGGACAUGGGAUGCGCACCAAGCAAGAGCAGGCAAUCGGCUCGAAAAUGUGCACUUGGAUAUGCGGACAGAUUGAGCCUCAUGAUAUUCAGCUCGACAGCCAUUCUAGGGCGCCUUGUAGGAACCUGCUUGUACGCCAUUGCCUACUUCUUUUACAGCCCGUUCGAGACGACCUCCAUCGCGGAUUUCACCCAGUACAACGCUCUGCAUCCCUAAGAGGUG
rnacentral:lncRNA from 1 species